rnacentral:rRNA from 1 species
AUGAACGCUAGCUACAGGCUUAACACAUGCAAGUCGAGGGGCAGCAUGAAUCAAGCUUGCUUGAUUGAUGGCGACCGGCGCACGGGUGCGUAACACGUAUCCAAUCUACCCAUGGCUCAGGGAUAGCCUUUCGAAAGAAAGAUUAAUACCUGAUGGUUUCAUGAGCCCGCAUGGACUUAUGAAUAAAGAUUUAUCGGCGAUGGAUGAGGAUGCGUCCGAUUAGAUAGUAGGCGGGGUAACGGCCCACCUAGUCGACGAUCGGUAGGGGCUCUGAGAGGAGGAUCCCCCACAUUGGAACUGAGACACGGUCCAAACUCCUACGGGAGGCAGCAGUGAGGAAUAUUGGUCAAUGGGCGAGAGCCUGAACCAGCCAAGUAGCGUGAAGGGAUGACUGCCCUAUGGGUUGUAAACCUCUUUUGUUUGGGAAUAAAGUGAGCCACGUGUGGCUUUUUGUAUGUACCUUACGAAUAAGCAUCGGCUAAUUCCGUGCCAGCAGCGGC